UACGUAGGGUGCAAGCGUUUGUCCGGAAUUAUUGGGCGUAAAGAGCUUGUAGGCGGUUUGUCGCGUCUGCUGUGAAAAUCCGGGGCUCAACCCCGGACUUGCAGUGGGUACGGGCAGACUAGAGUGUGGUAGGGGAGACUGGAAUUCCUGGUGUAGCGGUGGAAUGCGCAGGAUAUCAGGAGGAACACCGAUGGCGAAGGCAGGUCUCUGGGCCACUACUGACGCUGAGAAGCGAAAGCAUGGGGAGCGAACAGG
rnacentral:rRNA from 1 species